CUGGGAAUUGAACUCAGGACCUCUGGAAGAGCAGACGGUGCUCUUAACCACUGAGCCAUCUCUCCAGCCCAAUAAUGUAGCUUGUAAUCGCCACAUUCACAUAGAUGUUGGGUGGCAGCAUACGGCUAUAAUUUCCAGAAUUUAGGAGAUGGGGGACAGGAGGAUCAGGAGUUCAAGGUUAGCCUCUUCUAUGUAGCAAGUUCAAGGCCAGCCUGACCUAUGGGUGAGACUGUUUAAAAACAACAAAAACCAAAAACCAAACAGGAGCAUGGUGGUGCAGAUCUUCAAUCCUAGCACUCAGGAGGCAGAGGCAGGUGGGUGUCUGUGAGUUGAAGACCAGGCUGGUCUACGACAGCCUGAGUUCGGCUCCUGGAACCCACAUGGUAGGAGAGAACCAGCUUCUGAAAGUUGUCCUCUGCCCUCCACAGAUGCUCUGUGGUGGUGCGCUUGGCUGGGCGUGAUGGCGCACGCCUUUAAUCUCAGCACUUUUGGCAUUCAGGAGGCAGAGGCAGAGGCAGGCAGAUCUCCGAGCUCAAGGUCAGCCUGGCCUACAGAGCUAGUUGCAGACCAGCCAGAGCUACAUAGUAAGACCUUGCCUUAAAAAAAAAAAAAAACAUAAAACUAGUCUGUCAUUCUCACUCUCAGCCCAGCGUGUUGUCUGCUGAAGUCAAAGGAGUCCGGAUGAGACAGAACAAUGCUAAUCCCAAUCUAGAGAUGAUCUGCUAAGUGAGAGCCAUACCUUAAUACACAUGUAACUGCAGUUGGCAGUCGUAUAUAUUAAGCCUCUGCAAGUAAAUUAAGAAAAUAUUAUCUCAUUUUAGAAACAAUGGAAAUAGACCAUUCAUAGAAGGGAUACAAAUAGCUUUAAAAAAAAUCCUAUUCUUGCUUGUUUAUUCCCAACAGGUCAGAAAAGAUCGAAGACAUAUGGGAACGUGCAUGGUCUUGUACGUUGGUGGGGCAUGUCAAUGGCAUUGUGCCCAUUAGCGGGCAGCUUGGGGCAUCGCUCAAGAGUCAGUUUGCAAACGCCCUUUGACUCAGUAAGCCUUGGGCCCAACACAGGAUGGCUGACUCUGGGUCUCGUGCUACGAACCAUGACUCCCCGGUGAGUGAUGGUCAGGCUUGGGCUGGAAAAGGCAGAGUUGGCGGAUUAUCCAAAGGACUGUGGACUUGGCCGUGGGAGGCUUAAGCAGGAUGGAUCGCUGUGGGCGAGUUCUUUGGAGUCUUUAUCUUUCUGUGUGGCUGGCUCAGAUGACAGCAAGGAGCCCGGGAUGAAUCAAUAUGUCCUUGGUCAGCUGCUUUGGUGGCUCCACUGCUGUGCUGGUUCUACAAAUAAUUGGAGUCCAGUCACCAGUGAAUCAGCACGGACAGCCCUUGGCAAGCCGGACCAGGAAGGCUGCUUGGCGUGGCAUGGCUGUAUUGAAGGCGGCUCUGUGCUGGGCAGGGUCAGGUGACAGAAAGCCUGGGCCAGCUGGGUAACUACUCUCACGGGGAUUUGAGCAAGCGACAUUUAUCAUGCCUACCUUAGUUUCUCCUGUGUCUGGUUCUCUCUUUUGAUGAUUCCCUUCCCACUCCAGGCCUCCAUUUAUUUCCUUCAAUAUAGCCAGACGUUAUUCUAACCCUGGGGUGGGGGUUGGGGAGAGUAAACGGGAUCCCCGGCUCUCAUUUUUGGUGCAUGUGGAUGUUUGGUAUCAUGGGGAUACAGUCAGGAGCAAGCGUUGAUUCAGAGGUGAGGAGGAUGAGGUUUGGAGACAGGAGCUAGUUUCAGACACAGAGCGUUAUCAUCAGACGGGCAGUAGGGGUCUGAGGGAGGCGGGCAGAGGGUCGAGGCCUAAAACCAGGCUAAGAACUUGGCUUUUUAUCCGGAGAAAGGCAGAAAUAUGAGGGACUUUUGUUUAUAAUAUUCUUAUAGUUAAUAUUGUUAAAUGGCAUGAACUAAUUCAGGUUUGGGGGUGGAGUGCUUGCUUAGCAUAUGGAGUCAUGAUUUCUACCCGCAGCACCCAAUAAACAGGACCUGGUGGUACAUGGCUAUCAUCCAAGCACUGGGCGGGGGGUGGGUAGAGACAGGAAGAUCAGAAGUUCAAGGCCAUCUUGGCUACAUAGCAAGUUUGAGGGUAGCUCAUGCUGUAGGAGGAUCCUGACUCAAACAACAGCAAAUCUAACUCACUCUAAUAUAAAAAUCAAACGAGGGCCAGGAGGGUUUCUUCUAAUAACUCUGUGUGUGUGUGUGUGUGUGUGUGUGUAGAGUAUGUGUGUUGUGUGUGUGGUGUCUGUGUGUCUGUGUCUUUGUGUGUGUGUGUGAGAGUGUGUGUAUGUGUGUGUAGAGUAUGUGUGUUGUGUGUUGUAUGUGUGUGUUGUGUGUGUAUGUGUGUAUAUGUGUGUGUAGAGUAUGUGUGUUGUGUGUGUGGUGUCUGUGUCUUUGUGUGUUUGAGUGUGUGUGUGUAGAGUAUAUGUGUUGUGUGUUGUAUGUGUGUGGUGUGUGUGUAUGUGUGUGAGUGUGUAUGUGUGUGGGUGUGUGUGUAUAGAGUAUGUGUGUUGUGUGUAUGUGUGUGGUGUGUGUAUGUCUGUGUGUGUAGUGUGUGUAUGUGUGUGGGUGUAGAGUAUGUGUUGUGUGUAUGUGUGUGGGUGUAGAGUAUGUGUGUUGUGUGUGUGUGUGUGUGUGUGUAGAGUAUGUGUGUUGUGUGUAUGUGUGUGGUGUGUGUGUCUGUGUGUGUAGUGUGUGUAUGUGUGUGUAGAGUAUGUGUGUUGUGUGUGUGUGUGUGUGUGUGUAGAGUAUGUGUGUUGUGUGUAUGUGUGUGGUGUGUGUGUCUGUGUGUGUAGUGUGUGUAUGUGUGUGGGUGUAGAGUAUGUGUGUUGUGUGUUAGUAUGUGUGUUGUGUGUGUGUGUAUGUGUGUGUAGAGUAUGUGUGUUGUGUGUAUGUGUGUGGUGUAUGUGUGUCUGUGUGUAGUGUGUGUAUGUGUGUGGGUGUAGAGUAUGUGUG
ensembl:lncRNA